CAAUGAAGGUAGCAUGGUAAUGUGCACAGAGAUUGAAUUCUCUUUGGGUCUACAUGUCUGCUCCCUCUGAUGCCUCUCUUGGUGGCUUUGAUUUGGGGGCCUGGUUCUGACCCACAUUU
rnacentral:snoRNA from 9 species